rnacentral:tRNA from 1 species
GGGCGGUUAGCUCAGUUGGUUAGAGCGCUACCUUGACACGGUAGAGGUCACAGGUUCGAAUCCUGUAUCGCCCAC